UACGUAGGGUGCAAGCGUUAAUCGGAAUUACUGGGCGUAAAGCGCGCGUAGGCGGCUGAGUAAGUCGAUUGUGAAAUCCCCGGGCUCAACCUGGGAAUGGCAUUCGGGACUGCAAGGCUGGAGUGCGGCAGAGGAGACUGGAAUUCCUGGUGUAGCAGUGAAAUGCGUAGAGAUCCGGAGGAACACCAGAGGCGAAGGCGGCAACCUGGCUCGUAACUGACGCUCAUACACGGACAGCAUGGGGGAGCGAACGGG
rnacentral:rRNA from 1 species